rnacentral:rRNA from 1 species
GACGAACGCUGGCGGCGUGCUUAACACAUGCAAGUCGAACGGAAAGGCCCCGCUUUUGUGGGGUGCUCGAGUGGCGAACGGGUGAGUAACACGUGAGUAACCUGCCCUUGACUUUGGGAUAACUUCAGGAAACUGGGGCUAAUACCGGAUAGGAGCUCCUGCUGCAUGGUGGGGGUUGGAAAGUUUCGGCGGUUGGGGAUGGACUCGCGGCUUAUCAGCUUGUUGGUGGGGUAGUGGCUUACCAAGGCUUUGACGGGUAGCCGGCCUGAGAGGGUGAACGGCCACAUUGGGACUGAGAUACGGCCCAGACUCCUACGGGAGGCAGCAGUGGGGAAUAUUGCACAGUGGGCGGAAGCCUGAUGCAGCAACGCCGCGUGCGGGAUGACGGCCUUCGGGUUGUAAACCGCUUUCGCCUGUGACGAAGCGUGAGUGACGGUAAUGGGUAAAGAAGCACCGGCUAACUACGUG